AUGCUCAGUCACAGAAAUUGUAAGAAAGCUCUACAGGUAAAGGUCCAACAGCGCCCUCUACUGGUGCAAAGAGUCAGGACAUGCUCAGUCACACUAAAAUGCAGAAGACCAGUCAGUGAGCAGACCGUGUGGAGCCGCAUGGACUUUCUGUGUGUUUCCCUAAUGAUGUGUGCAUUCUUGAGGAAAUAUUUCAUCAUGCAGCAGACCGUACAUCAACGACUUCCUCAGCGGAAGGUGUUGCUCGAGCAUGCCCCGACGGCAGCAAGCCCCGACCGCAGCAAGCCCCGACAGCAGCAUGCAUCGACGGCAGCAAGCCCCGACGGCAGCAAGCCCCGACAGCAGCAUGCAUCGACGGCAGCAUGCAUCGACGGCAGCAAGCCCCGACCGCAGCAAGCCCCGACAGCAGCAUGCAUCGACGGCAGCAAACCCCGACGGCCGCACGCCCAACGCGCGCGCGGACUGCGAGGGCCCGUUCAUCACUGGGCCCGAGCAGGGAACCUGCGAGGUCCCUAUUGA
rnacentral:lncRNA from 1 species